rnacentral:rRNA from 1 species
GAUGAACGCUGGCGGCGUGCCUAAUACAUGCAAGUCGAACGAACAGGCGCUGCGCUUGCUGUUCUGUCGUUUGCGGCGCGCGUGUGAAUCACACGUGUAUCCCCUCCCUAUCAUUCUGAUAUAUCUUCGGAACACCGGCUCUAAUCCCAUAUAAUCUCUUGCUCCGCGUUGUUCGUUGGUGAAAUUCGGUGGUUCUGUCUCUUCUAGCUGCAUCCGGGCUGCAUUAUCUAGUUGGUACGUUAACGGCUUACCAAGGCAACGAUGCCUAACCGACCUGAGAGGGGGAUCGGCCACAUUGGAACGGAGACACGGUCCAGACUCCUACGGGAGGCAGCAGUAGGGAAUGGUACGCAGUGGGCGAAAGCCUGACGGAGCAACGCCGCGUGAGAGAUGAAGGUGCUCGGAUCGUAAAACUCUGUUAUUAGGGAAGAACAUAUGUGUAAGUAACUGUGCACAUCGUGACGGUACCUAAUCAGAAAGCAACGGCUAACUACGUG